CCAGUCUGAAAAUCACUUCGGGUCUCCCGUGGCCCCUGGUGAGAUAACUGUGCCGACAGCAUAGGGAACGCUAAGCUUACUCCCCGCGGCGAUGCGUGGGGAGUGAAACCCACGUUCCCAUAGCG
rfam:Egretta garzetta contig55632, whole genome shotgun sequence.